GGGUCCUGGAGUUGUCCGGGAACAGACUGACCGGCGGCGUGCGGCAGGUUGGCAGCCAUGGCCGGUGAGGCUACUACGACCGCAAGGAAGGGAGAGAAAAAAUAAAAAGAGGCUGAUGGGCGGCCCGGCUUAGCUGGCCUAUUGGGCUAUCAUGCCGGCCCGACCUGCAUGAGGUAUAAAGAGGUCGAGCCUAAGCCAGUAUGACGGCACGGCGGGCGGCCCGGCGGGUGGCCCAGCCUGGCACGACACUAUAGCCAGGCCGAUACAGGCCAGGCCAGGAUGGGCCUGUGCCAGGCCGGGCUGGGCCGCCUGUUUGGCCAUGUAUACCUGCGACUAGGGCCACUGGGGCCGUGGCCCUAGUCGUGGCCCAGGAACCUCCCGUAUCCCCUCUUAAUUUAGGCCCAAGAACAGCAGCCCAGUCCGCCCGCUACAGCACAUACAGGUGCCCACGAGUACACCAAUCGAUCCUGCCGUCCACCGUCCUCGCCUUCGGUGCCGCGAGUCGCGACUGGCGACGGCGCAUCGGCAUCUCGACUCGCCGCCUGGUGCAGCACCGCCCCAUGGAGGCUAGGCUAGUGGACCCGCGCGUCUGCCGCCCAUCGGAGCCCUCGUCGCCGCGUCGAGUUCUUCAUUCCUCCUCCAUCGUGUGCGGGCUGUGGCGUAUGCGGCCGGCCGGCCAGCGGUGCAGGGCAGUAGCUAGCCUGCAGGUUGCGCCGCCGCUGCAGGUGCUCGCCGGCACCUCCGCAAGCGCUAACACGCGAGCAGCAUAUGUGAGGUAGCUUUUGUCACUAAAUUUUGGCCCUAGUCUUGACCAGAACCUGGGUCCGCCACUGUUUGGGGGCUCACCUUCAGGAAAACAGCUAUUCUGCAUUCUGCAGCUGCUGCUGAGUGACGUCACUUCACUGCACUGCUGCUUCUUCGGUUAUGUAUGACUGCACUGCACUGCAAUGUCAAAUGGCUCAUCUUGGAGAGGCAGCAGAGUGUUCCAUCUUCAAGAUCACUUCACUUGUCAUUUUGACACUCGUUGAAAGAUCGUGUAUGUAAAAUUUAGAACCUUUGGUCAAAAAACAAAAAACCAUGCUUCUGUUUGUUCAGUUCAGUACUUCACUGAACUGGGGCGAUGAAA